rnacentral:rRNA from 1 species
GACGAACGCUGGCGGCGUGCUUAACACAUGCAAGUCGAACGGUGAAGGUGGGAGCUUGCUCCUGCUGGAUCAGUGGCGAACGGGUGAGUAACACGUGAGUAACCUGCCCUUGACUCUGGGAUAAGCGUUGGAAACGACGUCUAAUACCGGAUACGAGCUUCAGCCGCAUGGCUAGGAGUUGGAAAGAUUUUUCGGUCAAGGAUGGACUCGCGGCCUAUCGGCUUGCUGGUGAGGUAAUGGCUCACCAAGGCGACGACGGGUAGCCGGCCUGAGAGGGUGACCGGCCACACUGGGACUGAGACACGGCCCAGACUCCUACGGGAGGCAGCAGUGGGGAAUAUUGCACAAUGGGCGCAAGCCUGAUGCAGCAACGCCGCGUGAGGGACGACGGCCUUCGGGUUGUAAACCUCUUUUAGCAGGGAAGAAGCGCAAGUGACGGUACCUGCAGAAAAAGCACCGGCUAACUACGUGCCAGCCGCCGCCGUAA